CCUACGGGAGGCAGCAGUGGGGAAUAUUGCGCAAUGGGCGAAAGCCUGACGCAGCGACGCCGCGUGAGGGAUGAAGGUCUUCGGAUCGUAAACCUCUGUCAGCAGGGAAGAACGGUCAAUGUGCUAAUCAGCAGUUAAUUGACGGUACCUCCAAAGGAAGCACCGGCUAACUCGGUGCCAGCAACCGCGGUAAUACGGAGGGUGCGAGCGUUAAUCGGAAUUACUGGGCGUAAAGCGCUCGUAGGCGGUAUGUCAAGUCAAGGGUGAAAUCCCCGCGCUCAACGUGGGAACUGCCUUUGAAACUGGCAAACUGGAGUGUGUGAGAGGAUAGUGGAAUUCCAGGUGUAGGAGUGAAAUCCGUAGAUAUCUGGAGGAACAUCAGUGGCGAAGGCGACUAUCUGGCACAUAACUGACGCUGAGGAGCGAAAGCGUGGGUAGCAAACAGGAUUAGAUACCCGAGUAGUC
rnacentral:rRNA from 1 species